rnacentral:rRNA from 1 species
GAGUGGCGAACGGGUGAGUAAUACAUCGGAACGUGCCCGAUCGUGGGGGAUAACGAAGCGAAAGCUUUGCUAAUACCGCAUACGAUCUACGGAUGAAAGCGGGGGAUCUUCGGACCUCGCGCGGACGGAGCGGCCGAUGGCAGAUUAGGUAGUUGGUGGGAUAAAAGCUUACCAAGCCGACGAUCUGUAGCUGGUCUGAGAGGAUGAUCAGCCACACUGGGACUGAGACACGGCCCAGACUCCUACGGGAGGCAGCAGUGGGGAAUUUUGGACAAUGGGCGCAAGCCUGAUCCAGCCAUGCCGCGUGCAGGAUGAAGGCCUUCGGGUUGUAAACUGCUUUUGUACGGAACGAAAAGGUGCCUUCUAAUAAAGGGCGCUCAUGACGGUACCGUAAGAAUAAGCACCGGCUAACUACGUGCCAGCAGCCGCGGUAAUACGUAGGGUGCGAGCGUUAAUCGGAAUUACUGGGCGUAAAGCGUGCGCAGGCGGUUUUGUAAGACAGAGGUGAAAUCCCCGGGCUCAACCUGGGAACUGCCUUUGUGACUGCAAGGCUGGAGUGCGGCAGAGGGGGAUGGAAUUCCGCGUGUAGCAGUGAAAUGCGUANAUAUGCGGAGGAACACCGAUGGCGAAGGCAAUCCCCUGGGCCUGCACUGACGCUCA